rnacentral:rRNA from 1 species
UGGCGGCAGGCUUAACACAUGCAAGUCGAGCGGUAGCAGAUCUAGCUUGCUAGAUGCUGACGAGCGGCGGACGGGUGAGUAACACGUAGGAACCUGCCCAGUAGUGGGGGAUAGCCCGGGGAAACUCGGAUUAAUACCGCAUACGCUCUACGGAGGAAAAGAGGGGGCUUCGGCUCUCGCUAUUGGAUGGGCCUGCGUGAGAUUAGCUAGUUGGUGAGGUAAUGGCUCACCAAGGCGACGAUCUCUAGCUGGUCUGAGAGGAUGAUCAGCCACACUGGGACUGAGACACGGCCCAGACUCCUACGGGAGGCAGCAGUGGGGAAUAUUGCACAAUGGGCGCAAGCCUGAUGCAGCCAUGCCGCGUGUGUGAAGAAGGCUUUCGGGUUGUAAAGCACUUUCAGUGGGGAGGAAGGCCUCGUAGUUAAUAGCUGCGAGGAUUGACGUUACCCACAGAAGAAGCACCGGCUAACUCCGUG